rnacentral:rRNA from 1 species
AUGGUAGAGGUGAAGUUAACCAAGCAAAAGUUUUAGAAAAUUAGAGAUGAUGGUUCGGAUUCCUUAUUGGAGAGAACUUACUCAUUUUGUGAGCAAUAUGGUAUUCCUAAGUUGGAUAUGGAAGAAGAGUAUAUAGACCGUCAUAAACCAAGGAGAAAGACCAACCGCACUAACUAUCAACACUACAGAUAUGAUUGCAUGAACCAUGUUAUUGACUUGUAACUUGCAGAGUUCAAUGGUCAUUUUAAUGAGGUAAAUUCGAGCCUGCUUACUCGAAUGGUUGCAUUCAGUCCAAAAGAUUCUUAUGAAGCUUUCAAAGUUGAGAACUUAGUUGAUUUGGCUAAGUCCUAUCCAAAUGAUUUUGAUUCCAUCCAGUUGAAGGAACUUUCUCAUGACCUUCCUCUCUACAUUGAUAAUGUGCGAGCAGAUGAAAGAUUUGUAGGCCUGGAAACUAUUUCAUACUUGGUAAGAUGA